AUUGAACGCUGGCGGCAUGCUUUACACAUGCAAGUCGAACGGUAACAGGUUAAGCUGACGAGUGGCGAACGGGUGAGUAAUGCAUCGGAACGUGCCCGAUCGUGGGGGAUAACGCAGCGAAAGCUGCGCUAAUACCGCAUACGAUCUGAGGAUGAAAGCGGGGGACCGUAAGGCCUCGCGCGAUCGGAGCGGCCGAUGUCAGAUUAGGUAGUCGGUGGGGUAAAGGCUCACCAAGCCAACGAUCUGUAGCUGGUCUGAGAGGACGACCAGCCACACUGGGACUGAGACACGGCCCAGACUCCUACGGGAGGCAGCAGUGGGGAAUUUUGGACAAUGGGCGAAAGCCUGAUCCAGCAAUGCCGCGUGCAGGAAGAAGGCCUUCGGGUUGUAAACUGCUUUUGUACGGAGCGAAAAGGCUCUCUCUAAUACAGGGGGCUCAUGACGGUACCGUAAGAAUAAGCACCGGCUAACUACGUGCCAGCAGCCGCGGUAAGAC
rnacentral:rRNA from 1 species